rnacentral:rRNA from 1 species
AGAUUGAACGCUGGCGGCAUGCCUUACACAUGCAAGUCGAACGGCAGCACGGGAGCAAUCCUGGUGGCGAGUGGCGAACGGGUGAGUAAUAUAUCGGAACGUGCCCAGUCGUGGGGGAUAACGCAGCGAAAGCUGUGCUAAUACCGCAUACGAUCUAUGGAUGAAAGCGGGGGAUCGCAAGACCUCGCGCGAUUGGAGCGGCCGAUAUCAGAUUAGCUAGUUGGUGGGUAAAGCCUA